GUGGGGAAUUUUGGACAAUGGGGGAAACCCUGAUCCAGCCAUGCCGCGUGAGUGAAGAAGGCCUUCGGGUUGUAAAGCUCUUUCAGCCGGAACGAAACGGUUACGGUUAAUACCCGUGACUACUGACGGUACCGGAAGAAGAAGCACCGGCUAACUACGUGCCAGCAGCCGCGGUAAUACGUAGGGUGCGAGCGUUAAUCGGAAUUACUGGGCGUAAAGCGUGCGCAGGCGGUUUUGUAAGUCAGAUGUGAAAUCCCCGGGCUUAACCUGGGAACUGCGUUUGAAACUGCAAGGCUAGAGUGUGGCAGAGGGGGGUGGAAUUCCGCGUGUAGCAGUGAAAUGCGUAGAGAUGUGGAGGAACACCGAUGGCGAAGGCAGCCCCCUGGGUCAACACUGACGCUCAGGCACGAAAGCAUGGGGAGCAAACAGG
rnacentral:rRNA from 1 species